CAGUUCGGAUUGUAGUCUGCAACCCGACUACAUGAAGCUGGAAUCGCUAGUAAUCGCGGAUCAGAAUGCCGCGGUGAAUACGUUCCCGGGUCUUGUACACACCGCCCGUCACACCAUGGGAGUCGGAAAUGCCCGAAGUCAGUGACCCAACCGUAAGGAGGGAGCUGCCGAAGGUGGAGCCGGUAACUGGGGUGAAGUCGUAACAAGGUAAC
rnacentral:rRNA from 1 species